GACGAACGCUGGCGGCGUGCUUAACACAUGCAAGUCGAACGGAAAGGCCCCUUCGGGGGUACUCGAGUGGCGAACAGGUGAGUAACACGUGAGUAACCUGCCCUUGACUUCGGGAUAACUUCAGGAAACUGGGGCUAAUACCGGAUAGGAAUCCUUGCUGCAUGGUGGGGGUUGGAAAGCUUCGGCGGUUUUGGAUGGACUCGCGGCUUAUCGGCUUGUUGGUGGGGUAGUGGCUUACCAAGGCUUUGACGGGUAGCCGGCCUGAGAGGGCGACCGGCCACCCUGAGACUGAGGGGAGGCCCAGGCUCCGACUGGUGGAAGCAGUGGGGAAGCUUGCUCAAGGGGCGGCAGGCUGAUGCAGCAACGCCGCGGGCGGGAUGACGGCCUUCGGGUUGUAAACCGGUUUCAGCAGGAGCGAAGCUUGUGGUGACGGUACCUGCAGAAGAAGCACCGGCUAACUACGUG
rnacentral:rRNA from 1 species